UCAAUUUUGUACUGUAUCUAUGAUCACAAAAAUGCAGGAUGUAACUGGGGCCUUCCUGAACUGGGGACUUGCUGAAGUGGGGAUUUAGAACCGCCCUUUAGACUCCAUUAUGUAUUGCAUCUAUGAUCACAAAAAUGCAGCAAGUAACUGGGGCCUUCCUCAACAGGGGCUUGCUGAAGUGGGGAUAUAGAACUGCCCUUUAGAGUCAAUUUUGUAUUGUAUCUAUAUCACAAAAUGCAGCAUAUACCUGGGGCCUUCCUGAACUGGGGACUUGCUCAUGUGGGGAUUUCCAACUGCCCUUUAGAGUCAAUUUUGUAUUGUAUCUAUAAUCACAAAAAUGCAGCAUGUAACUGGGGAGUUUCUGAACUGGGGACUUGCUGAAGGGGGGAUUUCCAACUGCUCUUUAGAGUCAAUUUUUUAUUGUAUCUAUAAUCACAAAAAUGCAGCAUGUAACUGGGUCUUGCUGAACUGGGGACUUGCUGAAGUGGGGAUUUCCAACUGCCCUUAGAGUCAAUUUUGUAUUGUAUCUAUGAUCACAAAAAUGCAGCAUGUAACUGGGGCCUUCCUGAACUGGGGACUUGCUGAAGUGGGGAUUUAGAACCGCCCUUUAGAGUCAAUUUUGUAUCUAUGAUUCCAAAAAUGCAGCAUGUAACUGGGGACUUCCUGAACUGGGGAUUUGCUGAAGUGGGGAUUUAGAACUGCCAUUUAGAGUCAAUUUUGUAUUGUAUCUAUAAUCACAAAAAUGCAGCAUGUAACUGGGUCUUCCUGAACUGGGGACUUGCUGAAGGGGCGAUUUCCAACUGCUCUUUACAGUCAAUUUUUUAUUGUAUCUAUAAUCACAAAAAUGCAGCAUGUAGCAGGGUCUUGUUGAACUGGGGACUUGCUGAAGUGGGGAUUUCCAACUGCCCUUUAGAGUCAAUUUUGUAUUGUAUCUAUAAUCACAAAAAUGCAGCAUGUAGCAGGGUCUUGUUGAACUGGGGACUUGCUGAAGUGGGGAUUUCCAACUGCCCUUUAGAGUCAAUUUUUUAUUGUAUCUAUAAUCACAAAAAUGCAGCAUGUAACUGGGUCUUCCUGAACUGGGGACUUGCUGAAGGGAUUUCCAACUGCCCUUUAGAGUCAAUUUUGUAUUGUAUCUAUGAUCGCAAAAAUGCAGCAUGUAACUGGGGCCUUUCUGAACUGGGGACUUGCUGAAGUGGGGAUUUCCAACUGCCCUUUAGAGUCAAUUUUGUAUUGUAUCUAUGAUCACAAAAAUGCAACAUGUAACUUGGGCCUUCCUCAACUGGGGACUUGCUGAAGGGGGGAUUUCCAACUGCCCUUUAGAGUCAAUUUUUAUUGUAUCUAUGAUCACAAAAAUGCAGCAUGUAACUGGGGCCUUCCUGAACUGGGGAAGUGGGGAUUUCCAGCUGCCCUUUAGA
rnacentral:lncRNA from 1 species